rnacentral:rRNA from 1 species
UAGAUAGUUGGUGGGGUAACUGCCUACCAAGUCAACGAUGCGUACCGGACUGAGAGGUUGAUCGGCCACACUGGGACUGAGACACGGCCCAGACUCCUACGGGAGACAGCAGUUAGGAAUAUUCGGCAAUGGGCGAAACCGACCCGAGCAAUGCCGCGUGUGAGAUGAAGGCCUCUGGUUGUAAAUCACUUUUAUUAGGGAAGCGGUACCUUUUGAAUAAGCCCCGGCUAACUACGUGCCAGCAGCCGCGGUAAUACGUAGGGGGCGAGCGUUAUCCGGAUUUAUUGGGCGUAAAGCGUGUGUAGGCGGUUUAUUAAGUCCGAGAUGAAAGGCUGAGGCUUAACCUCAGUUUGUUUCGGAAACUGGUAGACUAGAGUGCAGUAGAGGCAAUUGGAAUUCAUAGUGUAGCGGUAAAAUGCGUAGAUAUUAUGAGGAACAUCAGUGGCGAAGGCGAAUUGCUGGGCUGUUACUGACGCUGAGACACGAAAGCGGGGGAGCAAAUAGGAUUAGAUACCCUAGUAGUCCACGCCGUAAACGAUGAGCACUAAGUGUCGGGCGGUGCUGAAGUUAACAC